GGGUUGUGAGGUUAAGCGACUAAGCGUACACGGUGGAUGCCCUGGCAGUCAGAGGCGAUGAAGGACGUGCUAAUCUGCGAUAAGCGUCGGUAAGGUGAUAUGAACCGUUAUAACCGGCGAUUUCCGAAUGGGGAAACCCAGUGUGUUUCGACACACUAUCAUUAACUGAAUCCAUAGGUUAAUGAGGCGAACCGGGGGAACUGAAACAUCUAAGUACCCCGAGGAAAAGAAAUCAACCGAGAUUCCCCCAGUAGCGGCGAGCGAACGGGGAGCAGCCCAGAGCCUGAAUCAGUGUGUGUGUUAGUGGAAGCGUCUGGAAAGGCGCGCGAUACAGGGUGACAGCCCCGUACACAAAAAUGCACAUGCUGUGAGCUCGAUGAGUAGGGCGGGACACGUGGUAUCCUGUCUGAAUAUGGGGGGACCAUCCUCCAAGGCUAAAUACUCCUGACUGACCGAUAGUGAACCAGUACCGUGAGGGAAAGGCGAAAAGAACCCCGGCGAGGGGAGUGAAAAAGAACCUGAAACCGUGUACGUACAAGCAGUGGGAGCACGCUUAGGCGUGUGACUGCGUACCUUUUGUAUAAUGGGUCAGCGACUUAUAUUCUGUAGCAAGGUUAACCGAAUAGGGGAGCCGAAGGGAAACCGAGUCUUAACUGGGCGUUAAGUUGCAGGGUAUAGACCCGAAACCCGGUGAUCUAGCCAUGGGCAGGUUGAAGGUUGGGUAACACUAACUGGAGGACCGAACCGACUAAUGUUGAAAAAUUAGCGGAUGACUUGUGGCUGGGGGUGAAAGGCCAAUCAAACCGGGAGAUAGCUGGUUCUCCCCGAAAGCUAUUUAGGUAGCGCCUCGUGAAUUCAUCUCCGGGGGUAGAGCACUGUUUCGGCAAGGGGGUCAUCCCGACUUACCAACCCGAUGCAAACUGCGAAUACCGGAGAAUGUUAUCACGGGAGACACACGGCGGGUGCUAACGUCCGUCGUGAAGAGGGAAACAACCCAGACCGCCAGCUAAGGUCCCAAAGUCAUGGUUAAGUGGGAAACGAUGUGGGAAGGCCCAGACAGCCAGGAUGUUGGCUUAGAAGCAGCCAUCAUUUAAAGAAAGCGUAAUAGCUCACUGGUCGAGUCGGCCUGCGCGGAAGAUGUAACGGGGCUAAACCAUGCACCGAAGCUGCGGCAGCGACGCUUAUGCGUUGUUGGGUAGGGGAGCGUUCUGUAAGCCUGUGAAGGUGUGCUGUGAGGCAUGCUGGAGGUAUCAGAAGUGCGAAUGCUGACAUAAGUAACGAUAAAGCGGGUGAAAAGCCCGCUCGCCGGAAGACCAAGGGUUCCUGUCCAACGUUAAUCGGGGCAGGGUGAGUCGACCCCUAAGGCGAGGCCGAAAGGCGUAGUCGAUGGGAAACAGGUUAAUAUUCCUGUACUUGGUGUUACUGCGAAGGGGGGACGGAGAAGGCUAUGUUGGCCGGGCGACGGUUGUCCCGGUUUAAGCGUGUAGGCUGGUUUUCCAGGCAAAUCCGGAAAAUCAAGGCUGAGGCGUGAUGACGAGGCACUACGGUGCUGAAGCAACAAAUGCCCUGCUUCCAGGAAAAGCCUCUAAGCAUCAGGUAACAUCAAAUCGUACCCCAAACCGACACAGGUGGUCAGGUAGAGAAUACCAAGGCGCUUGAGAGAACUCGGGUGAAGGAACUAGGCAAAAUGGUGCCGUAACUUCGGGAGAAGGCACGCUGAUAUGUAGGUGAAGUCCCUCGCGGAUGGAGCUGAAAUCAGUCGAAGAUACCAGCUGGCUGCAACUGUUUAUUAAAAACACAGCACUGUGCAAACACGAAAGUGGACGUAUACGGUGUGACGCCUGCCCGGUGCCGGAAGGUUAAUUGAUGGGGUUAGCCGCAAGGCGAAGCUCUUGAUCGAAGCCCCGGUAAACGGCGGCCGUAACUAUAACGGUCCUAAGGUAGCGAAAUUCCUUGUCGGGUAAGUUCCGACCUGCACGAAUGGCGUAAUGAUGGCCAGGCUGUCUCCACCCGAGACUCAGUGAAAUUGAACUCGCUGUGAAGAUGCAGUGUACCCGCGGCAAGACGGAAAGACCCCGUGAACCUUUACUAUAGCUUGACACUGAACAUUGAGCCUUGAUGUGUAGGAUAGGUGGGAGGCUUAGAAGUGUGGACGCCAGUCUGCAUGGAGCCGACCUUGAAAUACCACCCUUUAAUGUUUGAUGUUCUAACGUUGACCCGUAAUCCGGGUUGCGGACAGUGUCUGGUGGGUAGUUUGACUGGGGCGGUCUCCUCCUAAAGAGUAACGGAGGAGCACGAAGGUUGGCUAAUCCUGGUCGGACAUCAGGAGGUUAGUGCAAUGGCAUAAGCCAGCUUGACUGCGAGCGUGACGGCGCGAGCAGGUGCGAAAGCAGGUCAUAGUGAUCCGGUGGUUCUGAAUGGAAGGGCCAUCGCUCAACGGAUAAAAGGUACUCCGGGGAUAACAGGCUGAUACCGCCCAAGAGUUCAUAUCGACGGCGGUGUUUGGCACCUCGAUGUCGGCUCAUCACAUCCUGGGGCUGAAGUAGGUCCCAAGGGUAUGGCUGUUCGCCAUUUAAAGUGGUACGCGAGCUGGGUUUAGAACGUCGUGAGACAGUUCGGUCCCUAUCUGCCGUGGGCGCUGGAGAACUGAGGGGGGCUGCUCCUAGUACGAGAGGACCGGAGUGGACGCAUCACUGGUGUUCGGGUUGUCAUGCCAAUGGCACUGCCCGGUAGCUAAAUGCGGAAGAGAUAAGUGCUGAAAGCAUCUAAGCACGAAACUUGCCCCGAGAUGAGUUCUCCCUGAC
rnacentral:rRNA from 1 species